rnacentral:rRNA from 1 species
GAUGAACGCUGGCGGCGUGCCUAAUACAUGCAAGUAGAACGCUGAAGGAGGAGCUUGCUCUUCUGGAUGAGUUGCGAACGGGUGAGUAACGCGUAGGUAACCUGCCUGGUAGCGGGGGAUAACUAGUGGAAACGAUAGCUAAUACCGCAUGACAACAGUUAUUGCAUGAUAACUGUUUAAAAGGGGCAACUGCUCCACUACCAGAUGGACCUGCGUUGUAUUAGCCUGUUGGUGAGGUAACGGCUCACCAAGGCGACGAUACAUAGCCGACCUGAGAGGGGGGUCGGCCACCAUGGGACUGGGACACGGCCCAGAAUCCUACGGGAGGCCGCAGUAGGGAAUCUUCGGCAAUGGACGGAAGUCUGACCGAGCAACGCCGCGUGAGUGAAGAAGGUUUUCGGAUCGUAAAGCUCUGUUGUAAGAGAAGAACGAGUGUGAGAGUGGAAAGUUCACACUGUGACGGUAUCUUACCAGAAAGGGACGGCUAACUACGUG